AAUAAAUUGGGACACCUUGCAAUCAUGAUGCAUUAUGUGCCUACACAUGCAGACCGUACUUGCUACAAAAUUACAAAAAGCUAAACCAACAACCACACAAACCGAAAUUGGAUACAUUGUAAACGCAGGUACAACGGGGAUAAACUUCGCUAGCUGUCAUUGAUUUGUUUUUGCAGACUUUUUUUGAGCAUCUGAUGACCUAAUGUGGACACAAAAGAUCUCCGCUUCGAGAGUCAUCUGCAAGUUAUGUUGUCUUGGGAAGACCCUGAUUUAUCAUGGGACACAUCAGUCUAUCAUCAUGAUAUGGUGGUCCUGCCUGUCAGCAAAAUCUGGACUCCUGAACUCCAUGUGACUAAUGGAGUGCAAACAACGAUAAAGCACAGCAACAAGGAUUUACUGGUGCACAGCAACGGGACUAUAGAGCACAUGGUCAUCAUGAACACUGUGGUGGGCUGUGAGGUCAAUCUGUACAAUUACCCCUUCGCUUCAGAUUUCUGCCCCAUCGCCAUCAAUGUAUGGGCACUUAAAGGAUGUGGCAUGUUCCUGAACUUUGGGAAUGUGAGCACAACUAGUGCAAACCGUGGAGACUGGCUAACCGAGAACGUGAAACUCGAUGCGAAAGGAGGCAGAGAUGAUCGCAACUAUCUAUGGGUGUCGCUGAAAAUGCGGUCUGAAAACCCGUUUCUGUCCCUGGUCCUGCCCAGUAUACUGAUCAUUGUGGCAGAUGUGGUGAGCUUCUCCCUGCCACUGGGAGGGGG
ensembl:lncRNA